GACGAACGCUGGCGGCGUGCUUAACACAUGCAAGUCGAACGGAAAGGCCCUGCUUUUGUGGGGUGCUCGAGUGGCGAACGGGUGAGUAACACGUGAGUAACCUGCCCUUGACUUUGGGAUAACUUCAGGAAACUGGGGCUAAUACCGGAUAGGAGCUCCUGCUGCAUGGUGGGGGUUGGAAAGUUUCGGCGGUUGGGGAUGGACUCGCGGCUUAUCAGCUUGUUGGUGGGGUAGUGGCUUACCAAGGCUUUGACGGGUAGCCGGCCUGAGAGGGUGACCGGCCACGUUGGGACUGAGAUACGGCCCAGACUCCCACGGGAGGCAGCAGUGGGGAAUAUUGCACAAUGGGCGGAAGCCUGAUGCAGCAACGCCGCGUGCGGGAUGACGGCCUUCGGGUUGUAAACCGCUUUCGCCUGUGACGAAGCGUGAGUGACGGUAAUGGGUAAAGAAGCACCGGCUAACUACGU
rnacentral:rRNA from 1 species